rnacentral:lncRNA from 1 species
CCCGCCCUAACCUGAGGGCGGCUCCAGAACUGUCCUUUUCUUCACUGGCCCUGGCGCCGCUGAUCUUCCAAAGCUUCUCUCUCAUGACACCUCUUGGAAGGUAAAGAAAGGGUUAGGAGAUGUGGGUUGGCUAGGUCACUCCUGGAGCUCGGUAGAAAAACAGAUGAUGCUUCUGUCUACCUGUAAAUUCUUAGGGAAUGUUUUCUUGACAGUUUUCCGACUUAGACCCGUAGAGAAUUGGAGAACUAUGGACCCUCUCUCUAGAAAAAUGCUCACCCACACAGAAGCAGAGUUUUGCAUGGUAUUGCAGGGCGUUUUGAAACUUCUCAAGUGUCAAGACCGCCAACUUCAGACCUCUACAGGUGCCUGCGGGAGUUUAUAA